CUUUUACAAUUUCUUUGGCAAUUUUUCUAGUCCCAUACAUUUCAAAAAAUGGAACUUGACCUUUCUCUUGCACAAACAGAACAUCAUGUUGCCACUUACAAUUGUGCACUUCAAAUUAUGUACCUAGUCAACCAAACAUAAUAGGAACUACAAACCUUAAAAAAAAAAAUAACAGCGGUCAUCAAUAUUAAAUUUUCAAAGCAGCAAACAAUACACCUCAAAAAGGAGUAUUUUUGUCACAAAUAAAAGCAAGACAUUGCAUAAUUUACCACAUUACAUUAAGUAUCUUUUCCUAAUACUACUGUCACUGUCUCUUUCUCUUUGUACUAGACCAUCACAAAAUUCUCAUAUUUCAUUGCACUAACCAUCAAUACUCAUGUCAAACUAUAAGUCGUUCUAAAUUAUGAAGCUCAACAAA